rnacentral:lncRNA from 1 species
UCAUCACAAGCCCGCUGACCUUUGACAAUAGGUAGCCCUUUUCGAUGUACCUGACUAAAUCCACCAAAUAGUAUUUUUUUUGGAUCAGAAAAAGAUGGUUCAUCAGGAUUCGAGGUUGCUACCAUAUUCUCAACAUAAUGUCGAACCUAUACCUUAGAAAAUGUAGGCCAGAUGUGUUGUGAAAUUCAAAGCACUAAUUAGCUUACAACUCACUAAAAGGAACUUAAU